AGGUAGUGACUAUUUCAGCAAGUCUUCCCUCAGCAAUACCAUGAAUUGUAGCCAAUUAAACACUAGCCAUCUGCGCAAUGUGAUUUAAUGGCCAUCACAAAAAGUCCCACAAACCUCUGCUACAUGCAUCUCUCUACCUGACCUGCAAUAAGGUUUGGAUGCACAUCCGGGCACUACCACACCCCUUUUUUUAGAAUGCAGAGAUAAUAAACUACUUGAGGAGGGCAGAUUGGGGUUGGGGGAAUGUAAUAUAUCUAAAUAUGAAAAUCCUGACUGUAAAUUUUC